AUUGAACGCUGGCGGCAGGCCUAACACAUGCAAGUCGAGCGGAUGAAGGGAGCUUGCUCCUGGAUUCAGCGGCGGACGGGUGAGUAAUGCCUAGGAAUCUGCCUGGUAGUGGGGGAUAACGUCCGGAAACGGGCGCUAAUACCGCAUACGUCCUGAGGGAGAAAGUGGGGGAUCUUCGGACCUCACGCUAUCAGAUGAGCCUAGGUCGGAUUAGCUAGUUGGUGGGGUAAAGGCCUACCAAGGCGACGAUCCGUAACUGGUCUGAGAGGAUGAUCAGUCACACUGGAACUGAGACACGGUCCAGACUCCUAAGGGAGGCAGCAGUGGGGAAUAUUGGACAAUGGGCGAAAGCCUGAUCCAGCCAUGCCGAGUGUGUGAAGAAGGUCUUCGGAUUGUAAAGCACUUUAAGUUGGGAGGAAGGGCAGUAAGUUAAUACCUUGCUGUUUUGACGUUACCAACAGAAUAAGCACCGGCUAACUUCGUG
rnacentral:rRNA from 1 species